rfam:Bacillus amyloliquefaciens FZB42, complete genome.
UGACUGCGAUGAAGUGAGAGGUUGCUGACACACCCGGCCGCUUUGCCAUGGCAAGGUGAUCAGGUUUUUCUCACGGAGAACUGUCUAACGUGAUGUAGGCGA